rnacentral:rRNA from 1 species
GACGAACGCUGGCGGCGUGCUUAACACAUGCAAGUCGAGCGGAAAGGCCCUUCGGGGUACUCGAGCGGCGAACGGGUGAGUAACACGUGAGUAAUCUGCCCAUGACUUCGGGAUAGCCAGCCGAAAGGCUGAUUAAUACCGGAUACGACGUGCUCCUGCAUGGGGGUGCGUGGAAAGUUUUUUCGGUCAUGGAUGUGCUCGCGGCCUAUCAGCUUGUUGGUGGGGUAAUGGCCUACCAAGGCUUCGACGGGUAGCCGGCCUGAGAGGGUGACCGGCCACACUGGGACUGAGACACGGCCCAGACUCCUACGGGAGACAGCAGUGGGGAAUAUUGGACAAUGGGCGGAAGCCUGAUCCAGCAACGCCGCGUGAGGGAUGACGGCCUUCGGGUUGUAAACCUCUUUCAGCACAGGCGAAGCGAAAGUGACGGUAUGUGCAGAAGAAGGACCGGCCAACUACGUGCCAGCCGCCGCCGUAACAC